rnacentral:piRNA from 1 species
UGAAAACAUUAUUUCAGGAGACACAUAACA